UGGGAUGUAGCUCAGUGGCACAGUGUCUGCCUGGUAAGCACAAGACCCUGAGUUCAACUCCCAGUACCCAA
rnacentral:tRNA from 1 species